UUUUCCCGUUGCAAUCUAUUUCAUAUAAUAAAAUUAGGGCUCCCCAACUUCAUCCCAUUCCGUCACUCUCUCUCGCUAGGGCACUUACUCCGACUUCCUCCUCAUCAGUUCUCUCCCGCCGGCGAUUGGCCAAGUCGCCGUCCAUCCCACCGUCCCUUCUUUCCGCUCUCUCUCUCUCCCACAUGAAUUGAUUGUCUUGACUGGAGAAUUUUGUUAAUCUUGGAGACAAUUGCGCAAAAGCAACCCGUGAGAAAAUUAAGAUUGUGGUCUUUGAAGAACAUCUUGAGGAUUUACGUAAAGAAGGUCGUUUGAAAUGGGAGAAAUGCAAAUUCCAGUCUUAUCAAGCGUGAGAUCUAUUGUUGUUCUUAAUCUUCCUAACUAUGGAAGCGGAAGAAAUCCAUGGAGCAAGCUAAAGCCAGAUUAUCUAGAGAAGUAAGCGGUUGCACAACAACAGUGGAUAGGGAAAGAGCCCCCCCCUCCUGGUUUUUUGGGAGAUCAAGGCAUAGUUACUUUUAUAUAAUACAUAUUCUGGUGGCUUCUGCGUCUCCUCUCAACUGAUGCCGAGGGGGUUUGUUCAGGCUUACCCCAAUGAUGGUUGUCUCGAAAAUUUUGGUCUUAAACAUGGAUGGCUUGCUUUGAUGGUUAUGGCUGAAGUAAUAUCCUCCAAACACAUAGAACAGAUGGUGCAAAGGUUGAAGAGGAGAAAUAUAUGCAGUACUUCUUUGAUGAUUGGUUUAGUUUCAUUGAUCAACAUCAACCUAAGGCUGUCAUAUUCUCCGAUGCUUGUCCGGACACAAGGUGGAUUGGGGACGAGGCUGCUGUCGCUGGAGUACCUGUUGGUCUCUCUUCAACCGCAUCAAUUACAUUAUUGGCAACACUGAUAUGGAUGCUCAAGUUGCAUAUAGUUUCCACCAUUUAUGAAAUGAAAAACCUUACCUUGCUCAAGGUCCCAUUUCAAAUAAGGACUUCUGUAAUCAGGCAACACUAGGGCAGAAAGUGUAGAAAGAAACAAGGGAGGGUUGGAAUAAGAGCAAGAUGGGGAGAAAAGAAAAAAAAGAGGAAGCAAAUAUGUGGAAAAAAAAGAAAAAUUGGUGGAACAGAUGUUGAAAAGCAGAAAAAGAAGAAAAAGAAGUGAAAAAAGAGAGGAAGUAGAUAUGAGGAAAAAAAAAAGAAAAAAUGGUGGAACAGAUCUAGAAAAAGAAAAACACAGAGAGCAGUAUAGGCUAUUGGAGAAAGGGACGGGGAGUUUUGUGAUGGAGUAGGGGGAGGGGAAGACGACGAUUUUUCGAGGUUUCAACUUAAAGCACUACUGGACGAGAAAUCAAGAGAGGAAAAUGAGAAUGCAAACUUGACUAGGGAAAACCAGCUACCUGAAUCAGCUAGUGGAGUACCCUCACUUAACAGAUCCGAAAUCGCAUGAAAAUAAGUGUGUAUGCUGAAAGCUGCAAAGGAACUAGAUGGAUAAUGUCAGCUUGCUAUCCAAUUUUUCUUAUUCAUGAAAUUAAGAGGUACGAGAACUAUUGUAGUGAUCAGCAAAGUAUAUCAAUCAUCAUCAGGAAUCUAACCUGGAAAAAGUUGCAAGAGUUGAGGAAACUCCUCCCCAAAAGAGAGCUCUAAAGAUAAAAAAGAAAAUGGUCCAGAUUCGGGAAAAGCACCCAGUCUAUUAUUGAAGGCAACGAGUAUAGUUCCGUCUAAGACUGUCCCUUAAAGAAUGGAUAAAUACACUAAGAAAUAUCAUCAGUUCAAAAGGAGGACAAGAGAAGGGUGAAUCUGGCCCUCCAUUGCGCCAAAGUCUUUCCAUGGUUCUCUUGAUACUAUAUGUGAUGAAGGUAUGGAUGCCCAAGUUGCAUACGGUUUCCACCAUUUACGCUAUGAAAGAACUUACCUUGCACAAGGUCCCAUUUCAAAUAAGCAGGACUUUUGUAAUCAGGCAACACUAGGGCAUAAUGUGUAGAAAGAAACAUGGAAGGGUUGGAAAAGAAGGAAAAAAACAGAAAAACCAAGAAAAAAAGAGGAAGCAGAUAUGUGAAAAAAAAAGAAAAAAAAGAAAAAAUGGUGGAAGCAGAUAGGUGGAAAAAAAGCAAAAAAACAGAGAGCAAAAUCAAAGAAAGAGACGGGGAGCUUCGUGGUGGAGUAGUGGGAGGGGAAGACGGCGAUUUGGCGAGGCUUCGACUUAAAGCACUUCUGGAAGACAAAUCAAGACCGGAAAAUGAGAAUGAAAACUUGACUAGGGAAAACCAGCUACCAGAAUCAGCUAGUGGAGUACCCUCGCUUAACAGAUCCGAAAUCCAAUGAAAAUAAGGUACAAGGACUAUUGGGGUGAUCAGCAAAGUAUAUCAAUCAUCAGUAUGAAUCUAACUGGAAAAAGUCUAGUAAUCAUGAUAACAAGUAUAGUUCUGUCUAAGACUGUCCCUGAAAGACCAUACUGCCGUUGUUUUGAAGGCUAAAAGUGCUACUGACAAGGCAGAAUGGAUAAAUACAGUAAGAAAUAUCAUCAGCUCAAAAGGAGGUCUUGUGAAGGGUGAAUCUGGCCCUCUAUUGCGCCGAAGUCUUUCCGAUUGUUCUCUUGUAUGGAUGCCCAAGUUGCAUACGGUUUCCACCAUUUACGCAAUGAAAGACCUUACCUUGCACAAGGUCCUAUUUUAAAUAAGGACUUUUGUAAUAAGGCAACACUAGGGCAGAAUGUGUAGAAAGAAACAUGGAAGGGUUGGAAUAAGGGUUGGAAAAGAAGAAAAAAAACAGAAAAACCAAGAAAAAAAAGAGGAAGCAGAUAUGUGAAAAAAAAGAAAAAAAAGAAAAAAUGGUGGAAGCAGAUAGGUGCAAAAAAAGCAAAAAAACAGAGAGCAAAAUCAAAGAAAGAGACGGGGAGCUUCGUGGUGCAGUAGUGGGAGGGGAAGACGGCGAUUUGGCGAGGCUUCGACUUAAAGCACUUUUGGAAGACAAAUCAAGACCGGAAAAUGAGAAUGAAAACUUGACUAGGGAAAACCAGCUACCAGAAUCAGCUAGUGGAGUACCCUCGCUUAACAGAUCCGAAAUCCAAUGAAAAUAAGAGUGUGUAUGCUGAACGCUGCAAAGGAACUAGAUGGAUAAUGUCAGCUUGCUAUCCAAUUUUUUUCUUAUUCAUGAAAUUAAGAGGUACAAGGACUAUUGGAGUGAUCAGCAAAGUAUAUCAAUCAUCAGUAUGAAUCUAACUGGAAAAAGUCUAGUAAUCAUGAUAACAAGUAUAGUUCUGUCUAAGACUGUCCCUGAAAGACCAUACUGCCGUUGUCUUGAAGGCUGAAAGUGCUACUGACAAGGCAGAAUGGAUAAAUACAGUAAGAAAUAUCAUCAGCUCAAAAGGAGGUCUUGUGAAGGGUGAAUCUGGCCUUCUAUUGCGCCGAAGUCUUUCCGAUUGUUCUCUUGUAUGGAUGCCCAAGUUGCAUACGGUUUCCACCAUUUACGCAAUGAAAGUCCUUACCUUGCACAAGGUCCUAUUUUAAAUAAGGACUUUUGUAAUCAGGCAACACUAGGGCAGAAUGUGUAGAAAGAAACAUGGAAGGGUUGGAAUAAGGGUUGGAAAAGAAGAAAAAAAACAGAAAAACCAAGAAAAAAAAGAGGAAGCAGAUAUGUGAAAAAAAAAAAAAAAAAGAAAAAUUGGUGGAAGCAGAUAGGUGGAAAAAAAGAAAAAAAACAGAGAGCAAAAUCAAAGAAAGGGACGGGGAGCUUCGUGGUGGAGUAGUGGGAGGGGAAGACGGCGAUUUGGCGAGGCUUUGACUUAAAGCACUUCUGGAAGACAUAUCUAGUCCGGAAAAUGAGAAUGAAAACAUGACUAGGGAAAACCAGCUACCAGAAUCAGCUAGUGGAGUACCCUCGCUUAACAGAUCCGAAAUCCAAUGAAAAUAAGAGUGUGUAUGCUGAACGCUGCAAAGGAACUAUAUGGAUAAUGUCAGCUUGCUAUCCAAUUUUUUUCUUAUUCAUGAAAUUAAGAGGUACAAGGACUAUUGGAGUGAUCAGCAAAGUAUAUCAAUCAUCAGUAUGAAUAUAACUGGAAAAAGUCUAGUAAUCAAGAUAACAAGUAUAGUUCUGUCUAAGACUGUCCCUGAAAGACCAUACUUCCGUUGUUUUGAAGGCUAAAAGUGCUACUGACAAGGCAGAAGGAUAAAUACAGUAAGAAAUAUCAUCAGCUAAAAAGGAGGUCAAGUGAAGGGUGAAUCUGGCCCUCCAUUGCGCCGAAGUCUUUCUGAUUGUUCUCUUGUAUGGAUGCCCAAGUUGCAUACGGUUUCCACCAUUUACGCAAUGAAAGACCUUACCUUACACAAGGUCCCACUUCAAAUAAGGACUUUUGUAAUCAGGCAACACUAGGGCAGAAUGUGUAGAAAGAAACAUGGAAGGGUUGGAAUAAGGGUUGGAAAAGAAGAAAAAAAACAGAAAAACCAAGAAAAAAAAGAGGAAGCAGAUAUGUGAAAAAAAAGAAAAAAAAAGAAAAAUUGGUGGAAAAAAAGAAAAAAACAGAGAGCAAAAUCAAAGAAAGGGACGGGGAGCUUCGUGGUGGAGUAGUGGGAGGGGAAGACGGCGAUUUGGCGAGGCUUUGACUUAAAGCACUUCUGGAAGACAAAUCAAGACCGAAAAAUGAGAAUGAAAACAUGACUAGGGAAAACCAGCUACCAGAAUCAGCUAGUGGAGUACCCUCGCUUAACAGAUCCGAAAUCCAAUGAAAAUAAGAGUGUGUAUGCUGAACGCUGCAAAGGAACUAGAUGGAUAAUGUCAGCUUGCUAUCCAAUUUUUUUCUUAUUCAUGAAAUUAAGAGGUACAAGGACUAUUGGAGUGAUCAGCAAAGUAUAUCAAUCAUCAAUAUGAAUCUAACUGGAAAAAGUCUAGUAAUCAAGAUAACAAGUAUAGUUCUGUCUAAGACUGUCCCUGAAAGACCAUACUGCCGUUGUUUUGAAGGCUGAAAGUGCUACUGACAAGGCAGAAGGAUAAAUACAGUAAGAAAUAUCAUCAGCUCAAAAGGAGGUCAAGUGAAGGGUGAAUCUGGCCCUUCAUUGCGCCGAAGUCUUUCCGAUUGUUCUCUUGUAUGGAUGCCCAAGUUGCAUACGGUUUCCACCAUUUACGCAAUGAAAGACCUUACCUUACACAAGGUCCCACUUCAAAUAAGGACUUUUGUAAUCAGGCAACACUAGGGCAGAAUGUGUAGAAAGAAACAUGGAAGGGUUGGAAUAAGGGUUGGAAAAGAAGAAAAAAAACAGAAAAACCAAGAAAAAAAAGAGGAAGCAGAUAUGUGAAAAAAAAAGAAAAAAAAGAAAAAUUGGUGGAAUCAGAUAGGUGGAAAAAAAGAAAAAAAACAGAGAGCAAAAUCAAAGAAAGGGACGGGGAGCUUCGUGGUGGAGUAGUGGGAGGGGAAGACGGCAAUUUGGUGAGGCUUUGACUUAAAGCACUUCUGGAAGACAAAUCCAGUCCGGAAAAUGAGAAUGAAAACAUGACUAGGGAAAACCAGCUACCAGAAUCAGCUAGUGGAGUACCCUCGCUUAACAGAUCCGAAAUCCAAUGAAAAUAAGAGUGUGUAUGCUGAACGCUGCAAAGGAACUAGAUGGAUAAUGUCAGCUUGCUAUCCAAUUUUUUUCUUAUUCAUGAGGUACAAGGACUAUUGGAGUGAUCAGCAAAGUAUAUCAAUCAUCAGUAUGAAUCUAACUGGAAAAAGUCUAGUAAUCAAGAUAACAAGUAUAGUUCUGUCUAAGACUGUCCCUGAAAGACCAUACUGCCGUUGUUUUGAAGGCUGAAAGUGCUACUGACAAGGCAGAAUGGAUAAAUACAGUAAGAAAUAUCGUCAGCUCAAAAGGAGGUCUUGUGAAGGGUGAAUCUGGCCCUUCAUUGCGCCGAAGUCUUUCCGAUUGUUCUCUUGUAUGGAUGCCCAAGUUGCAUACGGUUUCCACCAUUUACGCAAUGAAAGACCUUACCUUGCACAAGGUCCUAUUUUAAAUAAGCAGGACUUUUGUAAUCAGGCAACACUAGGGCAGAAUGUGUAGAAAGAAACAUGGAAGGGUUGGAAUAAGGGUUGGAAAAGAAGA